GAGGGUAGAGCUCAGUGGUAGAGUACAUGUGUAGCAUGCAUGAGGUCCUGGGUUCAAUCCCCAGCACCUCCA
rnacentral:tRNA from 1 species